GACGAACGCUGGCGGCGUGCUUAACACAUGCAAGUCGAACGGAAAGGCCCUGCUUUUGUGGGGUGCUCGAGUGGCGAACGGGUGAGUAACACGUGAGUAACCUGCCCUUGACUUUGGGAUAACUUCAGGAAACUGGGGCUAAUACCGGAUAGGAGCUCCUGCUGCAUGGUGGGGGUUGGAAAGUUUCGGCGGUUGGGGAUGGACUCGCGGCUUAUCAGCUUGUUGGUGGGGUAGUGGCUUACCAAGGCUUUGACGGGUAGCCGGCCUGAGAGGGUGACCGGCCACAUUGGGACUGAGAUACGGCCCAGACUCCUACGGGAGGCAGCAGUGGGGAAUAUUGCACAAUGGGCGGAAGCCUGAUGCAGCAACCCCGCGUGCGGGAUGACGGCCUUCGGGUUGUAAACCGCUUUCGCCUGUGACGAAGCGUGAGUGACGGUAAUGGGUAAAGAAGCACCGGCUAGCUACGUG
rnacentral:rRNA from 1 species